CUCGAUGACUUCCUGGUGGGAUGGUCUGGUCUAUUAUUGAUUUUUUCCCGAACUUCGAAUUUUCGAAUUGCUAGAGCUCUAGCUGUAAAUUUUGAUGAGUGAAUUUGAAUUUCCGUUGCAACGGACUCAUUUGGAUCAAUGGAAAAAUGCAAAAUAUUGGAGUUAGAGAUUUUGACUGAGAUCUCGUAAAGUAUGCCGAAGUUUGAGAACAGCCGUUGAUAAAUUUGGAAUCUUUUUCGAUGGAAUUAUGUAUUUUUUUCGUAGAGUUGUAAAUAAUUGUAAUAAAUAAUUUUAUAUGUAACU
ensembl:lincRNA C39B5.16 ncRNA